UCGGGGGGUUUGUCCCGGUGCUGGAGGGGCAGAGCGCCCCGUCCUGGGGUCCCCGCUCCCCCGCCUCCCCCUGCAGAGAGCACCACCAGCACGAGACAUUUACAGUGUUUUAUUGACUAGGAAAAUAAAUUUCUCACAGCUAAAAAUAAAAGCUCGUAAGCUACGACGGUGUCUCCUUAUACGAGGAAAAAUGGAAGCUCAUUUUUGUAAGAAAUGCUGGCCAGUCUUUUAAAAAACUAAUUUACUUCCUCUAGUCCCCUGUCCCCAAUAACCCAUCAUUAAAUACUAAAAACAAGGAUGUGAAAGAGGUGUGCAAGAAACGCGUGGCUCAUUGCUGAUAAUUUGUACUCCUUUGUUUGCAUUAAGUUGCAGAGGUGGUUUGGCAGGGCGGGAAGGGGCCAGCGCUGCCACCGCGGGGGGACGCCGGAGGUGAGGGGCGCCCGUCCUUGUCCUGCCGCGGCUGCGGACCCCGGCGGCACGGCUGCAGGAACGGCUCUGGCCCUUCGCCCGACGCGAGCGGCAGCAUCACUGCGCUGAUUUAUGUUACCGAGCGCCGUAUCCCUUCCCUUCCGAAGGUACGCGCUGUCCACCACGGAUGAAGAAGCACCAGGAGAAGUACUCGGAAAGGAGGCCCAGGCGGGCUUUGAGAGAAGCACGCGUCUGUGACACUUGGCAUUCAAAAAAGGCUCCUGAGGCGAUGAGAAGAGUGCAAAAGUGCAGUAGCAUGCCACGGGCCCUCCUUGCGUUGCGCUACAACCCCAGUUAAACACCAUCCACCAAGUGCUUCCUGGAGCAGGUCUUUCCCAGCGGAAUUGUGUCUGCGGGAGGCACAAGGAACGACCACGCUCAGCUAGUGCGUCGGUCGCACAGCCCAGGGAGGCCGACCCGGACGCUGGUUCAUCCAGCCCCCAGGUCCAACGAAGCCACGUCAGGAAGGCUUUGGUUUCUGGGCUGAAAGCUGAGGAAGGUGAGUGCAGGAACACCGGGAACAGGACAGGUAAGAACAGUGUGCGCACGGGUGUUGCCGGUGGUGCAGCACGUGCAGUGCACAGGUCUCUGCUGCUGUCACCGAGCUCUCGGCAUUAUGGCUGCUGCUGAUACUGGCUCUCUGUUGCAGUAAAGAAAUCCUCCAAAAUGCUCUGUGUGUACUCGAAGGUAGGACGAUCCUCUGGUUUAGUCUUCCAGCACCUCAUCAUAAUGUCAUACAGCUCCUCGGGGCAGUUCUCGGUGCGCGGCAUCCGGUACCCGCGAUCCAGGGCCCUGAUCACCUCCACGCUUGACAUCCCUAGGGAAACGGGGCAGGAGAGGAGCCUGGGUGAAUACCUCAUGGGCUGCUUAAAAGGCAAAAACCCAACACCCUACUGUCCAAAGGGUGGAGGAAAAGGACAGGUUAGAGGAGCAAGGGCUGAGGGAAGGAGAAGUCAUUUUACUCCCAUUCUGGGAAACAUGCAAACAACAGAGAUGCUGAGAUACUUGUAGCAACAACCAUCAGUUUUGUAUCCCAGUUGAGCAGAUUAGAUGGGAACUGUAAUCAUUUUGUAUAAAAUUCCAAAAAAUAAAGGCCAAACUUUUCUGUCUGCUGA